rnacentral:lncRNA from 1 species
AUAAUACAAGGUGGAGAGGAAAAAAAAGUGUGUAUGUUUGCACAAAAGGACACUGCCUAUAUUUUAAGUCAUAGAUCUUAAUUUGUGAAACUUUUAAUAUCCUACAUUCACAAACACUCAUAGAAACCAUUGCACUCAGAGUGGGCGGGCUUAAAACCCCUCCCACUCACCCAUUGAUUAAACUGAUGUUUCCCAUGGCCAAUCAGAGCAAGAGGUCACCUUUAACGGCCUUUAACCUUUAAUGCAAAUGAGAGGCACACAGGUAACAGGCCAGUCAGUCUUGUGUAAUGAACCUGUACCUAUAGUUAACUGAAGCGUGUCUAUUUUGCUCUGGAGUGAAGAUUAAAGUUUCACCUGGUGGAGCUAAAGUUUUGCUAGCUAACGUUACGUCACCACUCAACGUGAUAAGUAAGCUCAUGCAAACAAGUUAGCUAGCCUGGAUGAUUUAUGACAGUAUUUAUAUAUGACGGGUCAGCCGAUGAAGACUUCCUUUCCUCUCGUUUGCUCUGAUGGCGUGGGAAAACUGACUGAAUCUGUUUAUCUCUGUCGAGGACACGGUCUACUUUUUCUUCGUGAAAUCGUCCCGGACCCUGGAAAGGACUGUGGUGGAAGUGGAAUCCUUCCCUUUAAGACCUGUCCAAGGGCUUUUGUUGCACUUGCAGUGGCGUGUGAUUCCUGGACUUAUAUGUUCCAACCCCUUUUGGCAAGACUUUUUACAUCAAGACCCUGUCUUCUGUCAUGCAUUUGGUUUCCUGUCGCUCUUGGUUCCACUGGUCAUAACAAGAUUCAGAUUUAAUGAAAACAAAACUAAGAGUUUGGUUAAGAUGAGGAGAAUAUCAGCUUCAUGGUUAACAGAAACCAGUGUCAACUGUUGGAUCUACUGCACCUUUUGAAUAAAUUACCAAUAUUGUCGAAACAAUGAAUAUUUGCCUGUGUUUUUAGAUUGUUGAAGUUAACAGAGUUGUCAUUGUUGGUUAUUUUAAUAUUAAAGGUGACAAGGGCUGAGAUGUCAGCAGCUGUUAAGUUGCAAGUUCAAAAGCCUGUCAUCUUGUCAGUCUAAUUGUCAUACGCAGCUUG